UUACGGCUACAUCACGUUGAAACACCGGUUUCCGUAGGAUCACCGAAGUUACGCAACAUUGGUCCUGGUCAGUACCUAGAUGGGUGACCGCAUUAGGAAUACCAGUUGCU